rnacentral:rRNA from 1 species
UGGGGAAUAUUGCACAAUGGGGGAAACCCUGAUGCAGCGACGCCGCGUGAGCGAAGAAGGUUUUCGAAUCGUAAAGCUCUGUCCUAUGAGAAGAUAAUGACGGUAUCAUAGGAGGAAGCCCCGGCUAAAUACGUGCCAGCAGCCGCGGUAAUACGUAUGGGGCGAGCGUUGUCCGGAAUUAUUGGGCGUAAAGGGUACGUAGGCGGUCUAUUAAGUCAGGUGUGAAAGCGUGAGGCUUAACCUCAUUAAGCACUUGAAACUGAUAGACUUGAGUGAAGGAGAGGAAAGUGUAAUUCCUAGUGUAGCGGUGAAAUGCGUAGAUAUUAGGAGGAAUACCUGUGGCGAAGGCUACUUUCUGGACUUUUACUGACGCUCAGGUACGAAAGCGUGGGGAGCAAACAGG